GUCUGUGUGUGUGUGUGGACUCAGCAGUCUGUGUGUGUGUAUGGACUCAGCAGUCUCUGUGUGUAUGGACUGAGUCCACAUACACACACAGACUGCUGAGUCCACACACACAC